UGGGGAAUAUUGCACAAUGGGCGAAAGCCUGAUGCAGCGACGCCGCGUGAGGGAUGACGGCCUUCGGGUUGUAAACCUCUUUCAGUAGGGACGAAGCGCAAGUGACGGUACCUGCAGAAGAAGCACCGGCUAACUACGUGCCAGCAGCCGCGGUAAUACGUAGGGUGCGAGCGUUGUCCGGAAUUACUGGGCGUAAAGAGCUCGUAGGCGGUUUGUCACGUCGUCUGUGAAAUCCUAGGGCUUAACCCUGGACGUGCAGGCGAUACGGGCUGACUUGAGUACUACAGGGGAGACUGGAAUUUCUGGUGUAGCGGUGGAAUGCACAGAUAUCAGGAAGAACACCGAUGGCGAAGGCAGGUCUCUGGGUAGUAACUGACGCUGAGGAGCGAAAGCAUGUGUAGCGAACAGG
rnacentral:rRNA from 1 species